CCUAACACAUGCAAGUCGAACGGUAACAUUUCUAGCUUGCUAGAAGAUGACGAGUGGCGGACGGGUGAGUAAUGCUUGGGAACUUGCCUUUGCGAGGGGGAUAACAGUUGGAAACGACUGCUAAUACCGCAUAAUGUCUUCGGACCAAACGGGGCUUCGGCUCCGGCGCAAAGAGAGGCCCAAGUGAGAUUAGCUAGUUGGUAAGGUAACGGCUUACCAAGGCGACGAUCUCUAGCUGUUCUGAGAGGAAGAUCAGCCACACUGGGACUGAGACACGGCCCAGACUCCUACGGGAGGCAGCAGUGGGGAAUAUUGCACAAUGGGGGAAACCCUGAUGCAGCCAUGCCGCGUGUGUGAAGAAGGCCUUCGGGUUGUAAAGCACUUUCAGUUGUGAGGAAAAGUUAGUAGUUAAUACCUGCUAACCGUGACGUUAACAACAGAAGAAGCACCGGCUAACUCCGUGCCAGCAGCCGCGGUAAUACGGAGGGUGCGAGCGUUAAUCGGAAUUGCUGGGCGUAAAGCGCACGCAGGCGGUUUGUUAAGCUAGAUGUGAAGGCCCCGGGCUCAACCUGGGAUGGUCAUUUAGAACUGGCAGACU
rnacentral:rRNA from 1 species